UUUCAGCUAAAAAUUCAGAAACAAGAAAUCAAAAUACUCGUCUCUUUAUCUCUGUAGAAAAUGUGGAAGAAGAGCAGAGUCUCAGUGAGAGGAGAUCGUCCUUCUCUGCAGUUUCCACUCUAAGCCUCUGUCUUGAUGCUGAACACACAAUAGAAGAAGAUAACAGAAGAGAACAUGGAGACGGAGGAAAGGAGUUUGAUCAUCAAACAGCAGAGAUGGAGCUUUGCUUUGUUUGGUUAAAGGGUCUAUUUUAUACAAAAUCCACUUUUGAGCUUUUCAAUGUCUAACAAUGUUGAUUCAUCAUAAAAAAAACCAUGGUGGUAUCUUGA